CACAGAAGAAAGGUGAAACGGUGUACACCACAGAAGAAAGGUGAAACGGUGUACACCACAGAAGAAAGGUGAAACGGUGUACACCACAGAAGAAAGGUGAAACGGUGUACACCACAGAAGAAAGGUGAAACGGUGUACACCACAGAAGAAAGGUGAAACGGUGUACACCACAGAAGAAAGGUGAAACGGUGUACACCACAGAAGAAAGGUGAAACGGUGUACACCAGAGAAGAAAGGUGAAACGGUGUACACCACAGAAGAAAGGUGAA